rnacentral:lncRNA from 1 species
UGAGCAGAUCAGGGACACAGAUCCAGGUGAGCAGAUCCCGCAGGCUGCAGGGUCCAGGUGAACACAAUGCAGUUUUGGGGCACAGUCCCAAGCAGGUGAGCAGAUCCCAGAAUCCAGGAGUGUCCAGGUGAGCCAAUCCCCAGGUCAGAGCCAGCAGAGCAGGCAGCCCCACCCCAAUCCCAAAUUCCCCUCUCCUGCCCCUCCCUGGGCUGAUCUCACUUGGCUGAAGGCAAAAAAGAGGGAAAAGCCCCAGAAAUGAGAGGUUUCACCCCAAGACAGAGCCCAGGAAGGUCUGGAGCACAGGUGGGUGUCCCGUGAAUCCCAGCCAAGGAAGGGCUGGAAGCACCAGGUGAGGCUGGGGAAUCCACACCUGGAGAACCUGAAUCCAUCCCAGUCUGACCAGUCUGAUGCCAGGGGAGAUGCCCGGAGCCAGAGGGAGCACAGGUGAGCCGGAGCAGCUGAGGAGGGAGCUGCAGGUGCUCUGGGAAUUCAGGAACAGCAGGAGCUGCACACCUGGGCACACCUGGGCACCCCUGCAGGAGAUGCACACCUGGGCACACCUGGGCACACCUGCAGGGCUCUGCAGGAGCACCUGGACACCCAGAGCCCACCUGCAGCAGGCCAGGACCACAGGUAGGGACAGGGACACUCCUGCACCCUCACAUCCCAAAUGUGGUCCCUGCAGGGGCAGCUCCAACCCCUCAGCAGCUGCUGGAGGCACCUCCCAGCACGGAAUGAACGUUCCAGAAGGUUCCCACAGGUACAGGCGAGCAGUUCCAGGUGAUGGAGGAGCCAACGAGGAGGUGAAGUUGGUUCAACCCCCAGAAUCUCCAGGUGAGGUCGGGGACUCCAGCCUUGAGUCUCUUGUGCCAGUUCCAGGUGUUUCCCAGCUGCAGGUGAGUGGGAGCAUCACCUGCACGAGGUGGCCCAGGUGAAACAUUCAUUAAACAAACAGCAAUUAGGGAAAAACUGAUUUUCCCUUAAAAACAAGGAAAGUGGAGGCAGCCAGGGGGCCAGAGCUGCUGUGGGAUCCAGGAGGCUCCAGCUCAGGUGAGUCCUGGCACAGGUGAGCUCUGCCAGGUGGGAUGGAGAGCAGGAGGGAUCCCAGAGGCUGCAGCUCAGGUGAGUCCUGGUGACCCCAACCAGGUGAGAGAAGGACUCUCACCUGGGCCAGGCGAAUCCUCUGUCCAGAGCAGCCCCCACCAAUUAAAUAAUCAAUCCAUGGAAUAAAUAACGGAGCCACAGGGCCUGAGGCCGCUCA